CUUAUACUUUCUCCGUCCGGAAUUACUUGUCAUCAAAAUGGAUGAAAAUAGAUGUAUCUAGAACUAAAUACAUCUAGAUACAUCCAUUUCAAUGACAAGUAUUUUCGGACGGAGGGAUUAUAAU
rnacentral:pre_miRNA from 1 species